UUUUUUUUUUUUUUUUAAGGAAGGAGGCGACAUAGGAUGGAUAAGGAAUCCCCCCGCCGGUCUAAUAGGGAGAAGCGAGUGUAAGCGAGUGAAUGUGCGUGCGUGCGUAUUUCUCGCGUUAGGGAAAGUCUAGAGCUCUUCCACGCGGCUUUUUUUUUUUUUAAAGUGACAUCAGCGUGAAGAUUAUCAAUCCCCCCCCACACACCCCAACCUCCAACAAUUAAAAGGAACAAACAAAACUUUGCGCCUGGAAAGCUGGAUUUGGCAACAGAUAUCCCCUCUGGCAAUGGAAUUCCUGAGGAUGGUUCUAAUGGAAAGUGCCAAGUGACAGUGCCACAUGUUUCCUAGAAAAAACGGAAGAAAGCAAGCACAAAGAACCGUUCACAGACUUGCCCAGGGGAGCAUUUUCUCCACAUGGUAUAGAAAUCUGUCACUUUCAUGUGCAGAAGCGUCAUGAUGAAUGGACACAGCAGGGUUUGAUGCGCUGUCUCAGUGAUCGCAACUGUACAGGUAUUCCAAUUGAACUCCAUUUAUCAAGCGAUCAUGGAUUAAACAGUAACUCAGGGCUGACAAUGAAAACGUUACCAGGAGGGCGGUGAAGAAUAGAUUGAAGAAAACCAACUUCUUCAACAGAGAAUAAAUCAACAUUCAUCACUGAGGUUCUGGCAAGGACAAUGAUGUUAGUUCACAGAAACAGCAGAAGCAGUGGCAAAAGUCUUCUUGAACUGUAUUGCUUUGGACUGCAAGUGGAGAGGGAGUCCUAUUUUUGAAUGCCCCCUUGCACUUAAAUUCCACCCCCCCCAAGUGAUAAACUUGCAUGUCCCAUUAUGACUUCUGAAGCCAUUUAUCAGAGGAGGAAAACCAAAACAAAUCACUGCUUGUCUGCAUCCCCAGACCUGGAAGUUUUGUCUAGUGAGAUGGAUAGAAAAACAAAUUUCAAAAACCCCAGCCUUAAGAAAGUUCAGUGGCUACGGACUUCAGACGUGCAUGUUGAGGAACAUCAGAGGCACAAUUCAUACCUUGGAGCACUUUUCCAUUAUCAAAUGGGAUUCCCACUUCAGCAACUUGAAAACACGCACAUCUCCUUGGAGAAUUUCCUCAAAGAUGCGGUGCGCAUGGCCUGAAGAGCUCAUAUUUCUAAUCCUCUUCAGAAUGGUUUUAUUUUUUAGGGGGGGAGGGGUGGUGGAAAUGAAAAACAGCAGCUCAUACUAGAAAGGAGAUGGAGAGGAAGGCAAAGAAUCCUUGGCUGGAGAGCUGAGAAAGUGUGGCAGAAGUCAAACAAUCUUGUAUGAGAUGAAAGCGGUUACAGACAGCAGAAAUGGCGUUUCCUCCGGGGGGAAGCGACACUGCAAAUUCGUUGUUCAAAGUUCUCAUGUUUCAUCCUAACAAAUUCCAUUACAUUAGGAAGAUUAGAAAAAAAAUUGCAUUCUGUUUCCUUGGGCUGUGAAAAUGUAAGCAAAAUAAAUUCAUUGAGGAAGGGGGGAAGGGGGGGAAGAGAUGUGAUAUUUUCCUUCUCAGUAGUAGAAGGACCCCAAUAUUUGCACCUAGCGCAGCAAAGAAAUGGGGGACGUGGGGUUGCAUAAGGAAGCCAGGAACGUUUUGAAGUCCGUGUUCUCUAUAGAUCACAUUUUACAUGAACAAGAAUGAAAUGGAGAGACAUGGGCAGGAUUAUGAGCUACUGUUGAAAGAUUAUUAUUCUGAACAAUUAGUCUUAUUUUUUGGAAAGGGUUUCAGGCAAAAAGGAAAAGGGGGA